rnacentral:rRNA from 1 species
AUUGAACGCUGGCGGCAUGCUUUACACAUGCAAGUCGAACGGCAGCACGGGGGCAACCUGUGGCGAGUGGCGAACGGGUGAGGAAUACAUCGGAACGUGUCUUUAAGUGGGGGAUAACAUCGAAAGGUGUGCUAAUACCGCAUAAUCUCUGAGGAGAAAAGCAGGGGAUCGCAAGCUUGCGCUUUAGGAGCGGCCGAUGCCUGAUUAGCUUGUUGGUAAGGUAAAAGCUUACCGGCUUCGAUCAGUAGCUGGUCUGAGAGGACGGCCAGCCACACUGGGACUGAGACACGGCAGACUCCUACGGGAGGCAGCAGUGGGGAAUUUUGGACAAUGGGGGCAACCCUGAUCCCCAUGCCGCGUGAGUGAAGAAGGCCUUCGGGUUGUAAAGCUCUUUCAGCCGGAACGAAGGUUACGGUUAAUACCCGUGACUACUGACGGUACCGGAAGAAGAAGCACCGGCUAACUGUGCCAGCAGCCGCGGUAAUACGUAGGGUGCGAGCGUUAAUCGGAAUUACUGGGCGUAGCGUGCGCAGGUGGUUUUGUAGGUCAGAUGUGAAAUCCCCGGGCUCAACCUGGGAACUGUUUGAAACUACAAGACUAGAGUGUGGCAGAGGGGGGUGGAAUUCCGCGUGUAGCAGUAAUGCGUAGAGAUGUGGAGGAACACCGAUGGCGAAGGCAGCCCCCUGGGUCAACACUGGCUCAGGCACGAAAGCAUGGGGAGCAAACAGGAUUAGAUACCCUGGUAGUCCAUGCCCAACGAUGUCAACUAGUUGUCGGGCCUUUACGGGCUUGGUAACGUAGCUAACGCGUGAAUGACCGCCUGGGGAGUACGAUCGCAAGAUUAAAACUCAAAUGAAUUGACGGGGACCCGCAAGCGGUGGAUUAUGUGGAUUAAUUCGAUGCAACGCGAAAAACCUUACCUACCCUUGAUGUAUCGAAGCCCGCAGAAAAGCGGGUGUGCCCGAAAGGGAACGAUAACACAGGUGCCAUGGCUGUCGUCAGCUCGUGUCGUGAGAUGUUGGGUUAAGUCCCGCAACGAGCGCAACUUGUCAUUAAUUGCCAUCAUUUAGUUGGGCACUUUAAUGAGACUGCCGGUGACAAACGAGGAAGGUGGGGAUGACGUCAAGUCCUCAUGGCCCUUAUGGGUAGGGCUUCACACGUUACAAUGGCGCGUACAGAGGGUUGCCAACCCGCGAGGGGGAGCUAAUCUCAGAAAGCGUCGUAGUCCGGAUCGGAGUCUGCAACUCGACUCCGUGAAGUCGGAAUCGCUAGUAAUCGGAUCAGCAUGUCGCGGUGAAUACGUUCCCGGGUCUUGUACACACCGCCCGUCACACCGGGAGUGGGUUCCACCAGAAGCAGGUAGUCUAACCGCAAGGAGGGCGCUUGCCACGGUGAUUCAUGACUGGGG